rnacentral:rRNA from 1 species
UACAGAGGUCCCAAGCGUUGUUCGGAUUCACUGGGCGUAAAGGGUGCGUAGGCGGUCGGGUAAGUCUGAUGUGAAAUCCCUUGGCUCAACCAAGGAACUGCGUCUUAAACUGCUCGGCUUGAGUCCGGGAGAGGGUAGUGGAAUUCCCAGUGUAGCGGUGAAAUGCGUAGAUAUUGGGAGGAACACCGAUGGCGAAGGCAGCCCCCUGGGCUAACACUGACGCUCAUGCACGAAAGCGUGGGGAGCAAACAGG